rnacentral:rRNA from 1 species
UACGGGGGGAGCAAGGCGUUGUUCGGAAUCACUGGGCGUAAAGGGUGCGUAGGCGGGUCUUUAAGUCAGGGGUGAAAUCCUGGAGCUCAACUCCAGAACUGCCUUUGAUACUGAAGAUCUUGAGUUCGGGAGAGGUGAGUGGAACUGCGAGUGUAGAGGUGAAAUUCGUAGAUAUUCGCAAGAACACCAGUGGCGAAGGCGGCUCACUGGCCCGAUACUGACGCUGAGGCACGAAAGCGUGGGGAGCAAACAGG